CUAAGUAUAAGUAUAAUAAUUAUUUUUCAGUUCUCUCCAUUGUUCCAUGAUCCACAUUCCUAUACACAAAAUUUAUUCGGAGGAGGUUGGAUAGUAUGAACUAUCAUGUACGGCUGGUGAAGUGUAAUCAUAAAAGAAAAGAGAACUAUAAGUUGAAUGAGAAAAACAGCGGGAAUACAUGUCCAAAAUGGAAUUCUUAAGUCAUAGGUGAUCAGUGAGAUAGAAAGCUGAUGCUGCUCCAGUGGUGAUAUCUUGAGACGGCCAACAACACACUUGCGGUCGACGACAAUUCUUCAAAAUUAAGAAACAUGUACAUCGAACAUUUUUUCUUCUUCAACAGUUUAGGAGAGGCUUCAGAAUCUUUAUUUAUAAAGAAGAAUGUUAACUUGUCGGUACAUAAGUUGAAUAUGCUGACAGAGAUAGCCCUGCAUGGAGAACAAAAAAAGGUUAAUUAAGGUGAGUUACUAAAAUUUCAAGACAUAAGGAAAAAGUGAAAAUGGGGCCACAACUACUGGAUGCUAGACAACAGUCUACUCUUAUCAAUCAAAUAUAAUGGUCCUUAUUCAAGGGGAAAGUAAAUUUUUCUUAGAAUGAGACUGCUAAAUCAUUGGUUGAAAUUGUAACUUCGGAAAGUGUAGUAGUACACACGUGAGCCUUUCAUUCAGCUAUGCCCAUUCGUGGUGCCUACCUACAAACAACACAAUUUCAUCGUAAUCAUCAUAUCAUAAGAAAAUCAAUGCCCCAUACGACAUAAAAUGUUGAUAACAUACAUGGUAAUAUUCUGGCUGCAUCUGUAGCAAUGGCCUGUCGGCAAACAACACUUGAGAAACAGUAAAUUUCCAUCAAACCUAACUAAGAAAAAAGAUAUGGCAGAUCAUGAUGAGUGAGGUAACUGUCCAAGCAUCAUUCACUGUCUAGUUUCAAGGAAGAUUAAUAGUGCAUUGGCCAACUUAUAGUUCUUCCUUGUUGUAGUGAAUUAAUUGCAGAAGGAAAAAUACUAACCCUUACUCCAAUCAAACCCAAACACACCUUGUAUUUGGCACAUGAACAAGUUUAAUUGGUACUAUGAAGCAAGAGUCCAUGCAUUGGGGAUUAAUAAACACAUCAUAGUCUCGAAGAGUGCAUAGUUGAUAAGGGAGGAGGAUGUACCCAAAGAUGGAUAUCGGCGGCCGUGGCGAGGCUCCCGAUUUGUACUGCGCGAAAAAAGUGACAAAGAGGG
rnacentral:lncRNA from 1 species